GCAAAGUCUCUUCAGUGCAAUGUCCUGAUUGCCAUCACCAGACAUGCCAGAUUGUCCCCAUCAAUUGAUCACUUCAGAUGGUGACACUCACUGGGUUUGGGAAGAAACAGUGUUAGCUGGGAUUCCAUCUGCAUAUUCUCUUCUCAUGGUGGCUGAGGAGUGAUCCAGGUAGACUCCAGCUAAUCAAAGCUCUCCAUAGUAACCAGCAGCAACUCCAAAAAGGAGAGAAAAUCAACAACUUAUUCAAAGCAGUGUGAACUGGAAGGUGAUCCAAGUCAACUGGAAAAAUCCCAAAUGAUGUCCUGCAGGUUGAUGUCGCUGCCCAAGGAGUGUCCCCUCUGUCAUGGAGGGGAAUGAAGAGGUGACAGGGGACAACUGGCCUGUGAAGGUUUGUGCAUCUAGAAAAGAACUAAUAAGUGGAAAAAAGCAGAAGUUCUGUUGGAAAUAACACUGAACCUUGAAUCAAAGUCCUGGUGCUGGUGGCAGUUCACCCCAGCACAUCCUGGGGAUUUAAAACCUGUGUCAGUGCUGGGCAACUGCAGGUCAGGGGUGUCUGUGCCUCUCCAGAGCUGCCCUGCUGACUCUGACUGCUGGGGGUCCUCAAAAGAGCUGGAGAAAAGGGAAGGAUCCAUGAAUGAAUCUCAGGAAUGGCAUUUAGCAUUCCUGUUGGGCUACACCAUGAACUGGCAAGGAAGUUCAACUGGAAUCUGCCUCCUGUGUCUCUGCCAGUAACCACAGAACCUGUGCUUGCUUUUAAUAAAACCAGAGAGUCAUUAAUGUUGGAAAAGACCUCUAAGACCAUUGAAUCCAACUGUGAACAAUACUGGCUCAACAGUAUAUGGCUGGGGGAUAAAAAGUUGUAUUGCUUUAAAAAUUUACUAAUUUGCUGAAUUCAAAUAAAAGUGGGAUUUAGUGAAGCAAGCUGAUGGUUUGUGUCUGAACAUCUGGCUGUAGAUGUGACCACUAUUGUGUGUCAGGGAUCUGCAGGACUCUGUUCCACCCCUGUUGGAAAUACCAUGCCAGCAGAGGUCUGGUUUGUGUCAAAACAAACACUGGAUACGUUGCAUCAUAUGAAACAGAGAGUUCAGCAAGAACAGUAAGGAAACAGUUGGCUAUAAAACCCCUUCUGUUCUCAGCACUGAAAUGUGAUGCACUUAUAACAGAAAGGGCACUUUUUGUAAGACAUUGAAGUCUUUUUUAUAUAUUUUACUAAAUCAGUUGCCUGGAAAUGGAGUUUAAUUCUGGAAUUCAAUGAACGUUGAACAGUUGUUUCCUCUCUGCACUGUUGGUUGUUUUAUAGGUACUUCACAUGCACCUUCUUCAGUCAUGUCUUCUGAGAACCUGUGUUACAUGGA